UAGCGUGACUGUAUACUACAUAUAAAUCAUAAAAAUAUUGUUUAUCUAAAGCAUCCGAUGUCUAAUAAUAUUAUUAAUUAAAAUGUAGGUACGAAUAAAAUUCAAAUCAGUUUCACAGUGCCAAUACAAAAGAAACAUUAUUAAAUUUCUAAAAUUACAACUGAGGCGGUGCCUAACUAUAGCACACCCCCGAAUCCACCACUGGAGCUGGAGAUUGUUCAGCUUUUACUCACGGUUCCUGCUUGUGGGACUACGUGAGACAAACUAUGUACAGAACCAUGUCGAGAAAACGGCGAAUGAAAAAGAUAAGUUUUACGCAUCGUAUGUCGCGUGUUUAACCGGGGGGGGAAAAAUUGUACGUACAUACAAACAAUGGCGGACGGUAAACGGGGGUGAGUUUGCUGGUCCAUCAAAGUGAUCGCCCGGCUGGUGGAGAAAGCGUGAGACCGGUCCGAUCCAUUAAAAAAUUAAAUAGGUAGGUAUGUCAGCGACAUUCAGGUUUUGAAACAAAUCGCGCAUCCGUCCUCCACCCAGCUUUGUUCUGUGAGGUAAAAAUGUCUCAAUGGUCCGCCGCCGCCGAAGUCUACACACCACACCAGUUGACUCGACCAGUUUAAGAAAUGCUUACGUCACAGACAUGCGCAUCACGAGUUGGCAUACGGCAUACCUAUUUCAUACGAAGAGUCCGAGUGAAAAAUGAUUCAGCAGACCGUCAAGAUAACACAAUAAUAAUAUAAACCGUUUAUAAGAUCUACACCUAAUAAUGAUAUGCAAAAUAUGAAUAUCAAAUUUACUUUGGGUCAUGGUUCAAAGUAAUGCAUUAUAUUAUAUUUUCUAAAAAAUGUAAAAAUCACAAUAUAAUUCGUUUUUAAUAAUUAACGAGGGUUGAAGUUGGCAACGAUCGGGACAGACUGUUAACGUUUAACAGUGUGACACUGUCUAGCACAUUGCGACACUGUCUAGCACACUGCGACACUGUCUAGCACACUGCGACACUUUGGAUGACGUGUUCCUGAAUGUGCGGCCGUAUGAGUUUGGUGAUGUAGUUGAAGUCUCCGUAAUAUAUUUUAUUAUUCGGUACUCUUCAAAAUCAAAGUGCGUGGUAUGUAAAGUUUGAUAUUUUGUGACUUGUGUAUCCACCCAAUCGGCACUUUCAAGUAUACCUAUGCAAUAAUAGUCGUUAUAGCCUGCAUUGUCUUUUAUCAACAUUCAGUUACAAAUGUCAAGGUCACAAACUCGUAAAGAAUAAUCUCUAAUCAAGUACACAUCUAAUACCAUUUUUGUCACCGAGUUGUGUUGAAUUAAACAGCAAUAAACUAUAGGUAAGG